GUUGGCGGCGUGGAUUAGGCGUGCAAGUCGAACGAAUCCCUAGGGGCUUGCUCUUAGGGGGAAGUGGCGAAAGGGGCAGUAAGGCAUGGGUAACCUACCCUGGGGACGGGGAUAGCCAUUCUAACGAGUGGGUAAUACCUGGCGAGGUCGCGGGGCUGCAUGGUCUUGCGAUGAAAUGAAUUUCGCCUCGGGAGGGGCUCAUGUGGUAUUAGCUUGUUGGUAGGGUAACGGCCUACCAAGGCCAAGAUGCCUAGCAGGUGUGAGAGCACGACCUGCGCCACUGGCACUGAGACACUGGCCAGACUCCUACGGGAGGCUGCAGUCGAGGAUCUUCGGCAAUGGGCGCAAGCCUGACCGAGCGACGCCGCGUGUGUGAUGAAGGCCUUCGGGUUGUAAAGCACUGUCGAGGGGGAGGAAGCCGCAAGG
rnacentral:rRNA from 1 species